CCUACGGGAGGCAGCAGUCGAGAAUCUUUCACAAUGGGGGAAACCCUGAUGGUGCGACGCCGCGUGGGGGAAUGAAGGUCUCCGGAUUGUAAACUCCUGUCAUGUGGGAGCAAAUUAAAACGAUAGAACCACAAGUGGAAGAGACGGCUAACUCUGUGACAGCAGCCGCGGUAAUACGGAGGUCUCAAGCGUUGUUCGGAAUCACUGGGCGUAAAGCGUGCGUAGGCUGUUUCGUAAGUCGUGUGUGAAAGGCGCGGGCUCAACCCGCGGACGGCACAUGAUACUGCGAGACUAGAGUAAUGGAGGGGGAGCCGGAAUUCUCGGUGUAGCGGUGAAAUGCGUAGAUAUCGAGAGGAACACUCAUGGCGAAGGCGAGUUCCUGGACAUUAACUGACGCUGAGGCACGAAGGCGAGGGGAGCGAAAGGGAUUAGAUACCCCUGUAGUC
rnacentral:rRNA from 1 species